ensembl:lincRNA
CAGAAAUAGAAUCUCAAAAAUAUGUUACAUGAAAGGGUGAAGAUAGAAAUUUCCCUCCAAGAUUUAUAAUGAGGGGAUAGGUAAUCCACAUAGAUAAUGAGCCCAGUAUUUUUACAGAAUAAAUGAUGCCAGUCAUUUUUAACGAUCUUUCAUUUCAUACUUCAGCAGCUCCCUGGGCCUUUAAAAAUGAAGCACACGGCCACAAGUGCAUGCUCACACAGGACUGCCUGUCUUUUAAUCCGGCCUGAAAGUCAGGCCCGAAAGCAGUGCAUUUAAUAAGGGACAGACAUCAGUGGCUCGGGAAUGUUCAGGAAAAGAAGAGAGCUUGCUGAUGUGAACAUUCAGGAAAAAGAGAGCAUGCAAAGAGAACCUUUCUGACGUUUUUUGGCAAACAGGGACAAUGAAGGGAAAGACAAGCUUGAGGAACCACAGGGGCCGGGGAGUCACCAGCCCCUUGGGUAUGGUCUCCACGUUUCUAGAGCUGCAACCUGCUUUAAGACUGCAGAGUUUCUGCAGUUCUCUGACCUCCACGGCCCGCCCUGGCCACGUGGAGAACUGUCAAGUGGUAGCAUGAAGUGGAAACAAUGGAAUCAUUGUUGUGGUUUUAUAGAAACGCUGCUGUGAAUUGAGUUCCCUGCCUGUGCCCGGCACUGCACUGGACAGUGGAGGUACAGAGGUGGUGCUGUCACCGUCCUUCCCUCUGGAAGCUUACUCCCUGGUGAGAGAACGACAGGUAAGGAAGCAAGUGCCACUGAGUGACCUGGACAUCAGGAGAGCAGCGUGAACUGAGGGCUGCAGGGGCACCCAGGAAACAGUGGGUGAUUCUUUGGGGGAUGCUUUAACGAUGGCUUCGAAGAGGCAGUGAUACUAGCACAAUGAGGCGGAAGGCAGAGAAGGGCAUUGCAUUGUAGGCCAAGGGACCAGGGUGGGCAAAGGCCCAGGGGUGUGGCACAGCAUGGAGCAUUUGAGGGUUUGUGAGUUUGGGCAACUGGAGCACGUGGCUCCAGGCAGUGGCGAGGGGAGGUCUGGGAGGGAUGUGGCUGGAGUAUGAGGUUGGCUUGGUCGUGGAAGUCAAGCCAUAAGUUUGCAUUGUGUCCUAGAGAGAGUUCAGAAAGAGCCCUUGGCAGCAGGGUAGAGAGAUGACUUGGAGGCAAGUGAGACAGGAAGUAGGAGACUGUUGCCAAAGUCCAUGCGAGACAGCAUGAAGGACUGAACCAUGAUAAGGUCGUGCAGAGUGAAGAAGAGGCACGUCCUAGAGUGCUUGGUAACCGGUGGGUUGGGGCGUGUCUCUAGGUUCUGCUGGGGCAGCCGAGCCGAUGGUGGAUGAUCCCACAGUUCAGAGAGGGUCUCAGUGACCACGGGCGGGCUGCACAGGUACAAACAGAGAGAAUGUGUGCCUUCCUGCGUGCUUGGCUCCAGCUGAUGGUG